rnacentral:lncRNA from 1 species
UCUGAACACCACUAGAGCUCACGACAAGCUUUCUCUGCCAAACCCAGAUUUCAACAGAAAUCUUACAUCUUCUUCUCUUUUCAACUUCAGCGAAUCUAUGUCUCUAAACGAGCAUAGCAUUCCAUCUUCCUUGAGACAUAAUAACCAGAUUCAUCAUUCUCCUCUAAAAUCGCUCUUCUAGAAGCUUCUACUUCAUAAAGACGUGACCUUUUUGACAAAGCUUGCAUUUCUCCUUGGAAAAACUUGAAUCUUUCUCACGGAAACCUGAAGAUUCAGAGCAAAGCUUGAGACUUUACGCACGAACCUGUGCUCUGAUACCACUGUAGGGUUUUUGACAACCUCUAUAACACCUCAAGCUUAAAACCAAUGUCAUAAACAUCAACGCAGGUCACAGCAAAACAGAGCAAAGCAUAUCAUAGAAAAGAUGAAGUCGAAACAGAACAGAGAAAGAGAAGAAAGAAGAGAGGAGCUGAUACAUAUGCGGCCCAACACCCACCUAUUCUAUAUCAAUACCAAAGGAGGAGCAAGGCCCAGAAGCCUGUGAAGUGAAGUCAAGUGGGUUAAGAAGAGUAAAGAAAAUUCCAGAUAAGAGUCAUGGUUUAAUUGGAGUUACUUAACUACAGUAAGGAAUAACCAUGAUUAAGUAGGUGGCAUCAUCUCAUUGCAUCUCGCCAUAACGGUGCACUUGCGUGAGGAGGAGAUCACAAAAGUAGUAUAAGAAGUAUGAGAGGGCAUAGAGAGAGGGUAUCCAGAAUCUGGUGAAAGUGUACGGGGGAGGGGAGAGACUCCAUUGUAAAACUCUCAAUUUUGUAUUCCUUUCAAUAUUAAUACAAGUAUAUGCCUAUUACAUUGUUUGAUCCCUAGUUUACUGCUCUAAUCGUAUCAGGAGCACACACCAAGUUGUUAACCCGGUUCAUGGCGUUAACGAGCCACUACAUCCGGUCGGGAUCAACAGAUCCCCAAUAUAUACUAUAAUCAGAGACAAGUUUACAAAGAUCACUCAAGUGACAUCUUUGGAUCUUUACUGCUACCAAAGACUCACUCAUAACACUCUGUAACACUUAAGAUAACUCUCCCCAAGCUUACACUCUUACAAGUUUUCUCUCUACCCGAUUACAUCUCUCUCUUUACAUUGUGUCUCUCUGUCACUCUUCUUUAGGCCGCUUGGCUUGCGACAACCAACCUUGUGUGUCUUCAAGAGUACUUAUACAGAGACACUCCUUAGACCUAAUGCUUCUACCAAACGCUCCUUUUGCAAUCACAAAUGGACAAAGUGUCCUUCUUGGCCAGCAAUGCACAAGGCUCCUCCUUGUGGUCCCAAAAGCAUAACUCAACCAGAGAUUAAUAUACAUUUAACUCUAGUUAGCUUUCUUUAUUUUUCCUUGUAUAUUUGAACAUAUUGUUCUCAUUUCAACAGUAACAAGUUCUCGAAUAAAUAUAGUUUUGAAUUUUAUUAAUCAUCCUUGAAAGUCCACUUAUCCAACAAGCUUUACCAAAGAGGUUUAUCAAAAUCAUAUGAACCUAAAAACAAUAUUAGC